UGAAAUUGUCGGGAGGGAAGCGAAUGGGGGCCGGCGAUGCGCGUCGGUCGGAUGUGGAACGGUUAACGCCGGUCCGCCAAUCGACUCGGGGNGUGGAUCGGUGCGGAUUGGGACGGAGGCCAAAGCCCAGGAAGUCGUUAAGCCUGNGGAGACGCCUUCGCCCCGAUCGUGGCUGGCAGCGCGCGCCNUUUCGGCGUGCUUCGGCAUCUGCGCGCUCCCGGCACCGGCCAGUGGGCUCUCCAUUCGGCCCGUCUUGAAACACGGACCAAGGAGUCUGACAUGUGUGCGAGUCAACGGGUGAGUAAACCCGAAAGGCGCAAGGAAGCUAAUCGCGCGGGAUCCCCUUGUGGGUUGCACCGCCGACCGACCUUGAUCUUUUGAGAAGGGUUCGAGUGCGAGCAUGCCUGUCGGGACCCGAAAGAU
rnacentral:rRNA from 1 species